rnacentral:rRNA from 1 species
CACGUAGGGUGCGAGCGUUGUCCGGAAUUAUUGGGCGUAAAGAGCUCGUAGGCGGUCUGUCGCGUCGGUCGUGAAAACCUGCAGCUUAACUGUGGGCCUGCAAUCGAUACGGGCAGACUAGAGUACUGCAGGGGAGACUGGAAUUCCUGGUGUAGCGGUGGAAUGCGCAGAUAUCAGGAGGAACACCGGUGGCGAAGGCGGGUCUCUGGGCCGUAACUGACGCUGAGGAGCGAAAGCGUGGGGAGCGAACAGG